UCGUCAUCGUAGGGUUAGUCGGGACCUAAGUCGAGUCCGAAAGGGGUAGACGAUGGCAAAUCGGUUAAUAUUCCGAUACCGACGGAUGUUCGUUUGAAUGAUGGGGGGACGCAUAGAGUUAGAGGAGCUCACUGAUGGAAUAGUGGGUCGAAAGAUGUAGGUUGUAGCGUAGGCAAAUCCGCGCUACAUGAGACCGAGAUCUGACAGGCAGUACAAUCUCUUCGGAGAGCGGACUGAAUCCUUGAUACUGUCGUGCCGAGAAAAGCCUCUAAAUGAGAACAUUCGUUGCCCGUACCGUAAACCGACACAGGUGGGUGAGAUGAGUAUUCUAAGGCGCGUGGAUGAACCCUGGUUAAGGAACUCUGCAAACUAGCACCGUAUCUUCGGUAUAAGGUGUGCCUCGCUAAGUUAGGUGAUUUACUCACUAAAGCUAAGCAGGUUGCAACAAAGAGUCCCUCCCGACUGUUUAC
rnacentral:rRNA from 1 species